rnacentral:rRNA from 1 species
UACGUAGGGGGCGAGCGUUGUCCGGAUUUAUUGGGCGUAAAGAGCGUGUAGGCGGCCAGACAGGUCCGUUGUGAAAACUCGAGGCUCAACCUCGAGACGUCGACGGAAACCGUCUGGCUAGAGUCCGGAAGAGGAGUGUGGAAUUCCUGGUGUAGCGGUGAAAUGCGCAGAUAUCAAGAAGAACACCUAUGGCGAAGGCAGCACUCUGGGACGGUACUGACGCUGAGACGCGAAAGCGUGGGGAGCGAACAGG